GCUCAAUUUUUAACAUUCUCCGUAUUGAAUUCAUUGUACGGUUAAAAUUAAGGGUUCAGAUCUAAUAUUUGUUGAGAUUUAGUAAAUUUUUACAUAUAAAUUUACACUUCAGUUGAACCCGUAAUCUAAAGGCUACAUCCGCCCCUGGGUGGAACCCGAACUGGGUAUCGAUUAUGCAGAUCAAUGCUGAUGACGUUUUGGUUGUGGUUUUCUCAUCUUCUGGUGCUAAAAAGGAGAAAUGGUCAGGACAAUUCCCAUACUAUUGCCAUUUUCCAUGCGUAGGAUUCGUUUUCGUUCGAAUAAGAUGCUUUUGCAAGCUAUUCAGCGCCUUUCCGAAAUCAGAUACCUAAUCCUAUCCUUCAACUUUUCCCUUUUCCCUUUCAUGGUAAUUUGCCUUUUUUUCAUCUUAAACAGAUACCAUACAAAAAGAGUAAAAGUAGGUUGCAGUUGCUUGACCAUGUCAUCUUCAUUUUUGCAAAGAAAUAGUCCCACUCUCAUUUUUUAUUUUUUUUGGUUUCAGAGGAUUCAGUAUCUCAACCUAAACUAGUUCAAUAAAUAAAGAGACUGUUUUCAGAAAGAAUGAUUCAUGGAGAAAGCAAUAUCCUCCUCCUGGCCCCAAUUUUCUUCAAGAAGGUCUUAUUCCAGGCAAAGCUAGUACCAUAAUACUAGUUUCAUCAAUGUAGCUGGAUAGCCUUCUAAAACCACCGAAUAUAUAUAUGUCAAGGCAGCAUCAAGAACACAAUGAUUCUUCUGGUAUCUUAUCUCACCGUCUUCACCCUGAUUUUUCUUGACUGUAGAAAAAGGGGCUAUCCAUCAAGAAGAGAAAAAGGGGCUAUAAUGUAUGUAACAUUAUAGGGACGGGUUCAAUUGAGAUUGACUGUAUUGUAGAACAAAACUAGAUCUCCUCACUAAGUUCUCCACAAUUUUAGCCAUUUGUAUCCCUGUAUUGGUACUAUAAAGUAUGAAUAUCUGCUUUCUGAUGGAAUAGGAUCAUCUCUUUGCACUCAUACAGUUGUUCUCAAAAUGGUCAUCCAUGAUGUAUGCCAAGAAGAAUCUACUUCAUAUCAGUGCAAGAAUCUCAUAUCUACUACACAUUACUAUUCUCGGGGUGAAUACACUUGGCAGAUAGGAUUAUCCCUGUUAGACUGUUCCGCAAAGGUUGAACAAAUGACCAAUUGUCUCCUACUAUGGUCUUGAAAACCCUUAGCUCAUGAACUAACUUUUGGAGUUGAGUUAAGACUAAGAUCUAUUUUCUUAACAUGGUAUUAAAGUCAGACUCCUCUCUGUUCUUGGUUUACCCAAUGUUGGACCUCCAUGUUAUGUUGUGCACGCUCCAGAUGUCCUGGGUAUGAGGGGGGUGUUAGACAGUCUCAUAUAGGUUGAGGGAAUUACCUGUUGUCCUCUUAUAUGGUUUUCGGCAAUCUUCGCCUAAUGAGCUAGUUUUUGGAGUUGAAUUAAGCUCAAGGUCCAUUUUCUUAACAAUCUCUUUGCACUUAUGCUGUU
rnacentral:lncRNA from 1 species